GACGAACGCUGGCGGCAGGCUUAACACAUGCAAGUCGAACGGACUGGGGGCUUCGGUGUCCGGUGCUAGUGGCGCAAGGGUGAGUGACACGUGUGAAUAUGCUCUUUAGUACGGAAUAACAACUGGAAACUUUGGCUGAUACCGUAUACGCCCUUCGGGGGCAGGAUUUAUGGGGAAAGAAUUAGGCCGCGUCUGGUUAUGUAGUUGGUGGGGUAAUGGCACAUCAAGGGGAGGAUGAGUACCUGGUCUGUGAGGAUGACCCGCCAGACUUGGGCUGAGACACAGACCAGAACCCUACGGAGGGGAGCAGUGGGGAAUAUUGUACGCUGGAGGCAACCCUGAUACAGCCAUGCCGGGUAAGUGAGGAAGGCGUUCGUGUUGUAAUGCUGUUUCGACGGGGACGAGGAUGACGGUACCCGUAUAAGAAGCCCCGGCAAACUUCGUG
rnacentral:rRNA from 1 species